GACGAACCGAGCGAACGUUGUUCGGAAUCACUGGGCUUAAAGGGCGCGUAGGCGGGUGCUCAAGUCCGGGGUGAAAUCCUCCAGCUCAACUGGAGAACUGCCUCGGAUACUGGGUGCCUCGAGGGUGGUAGGGGUAUGCGGAACUAUCGGUGGAGCGGUGAAAUGCGUAGAUAUCGCUUGGAACGCCAACGGUGAAAACAGGUUGCUGGGGGUGUGCUGACGCUGAGACACGAAAGCCAGGGGAGCGAACGGG
rnacentral:rRNA from 1 species